CCUCCAUCCAUCAAAGCUGGUGGUCUUUAGGAAACAUUAACCUGCUUUAACCUGCUGAGCUAAAGUGGCCUGGAUCAGGUUUCAUCUCUUCACACUGUGAUGUCAGCACACGGUGUGGAUCUGAGCUUCUCAAACGGCAGCGUGGCUCGUGUCCAGUUAUCGACCUUAUAUUGACCUCUAAUGCACCUGAGUCCUCUAUACUGAGACUGGAUGAGCGAUCCGAGAUAUCUCAUCCACCUCUACAGGGUCAGCCAAACUCUCAAAGCUGUCUGCAAUCAUUUCAUUUCCUUUGACGCCAAAACGCCGCCAUUACUGAUAGCGAGAGACGACAAAAUGACAACAUCUUUCAGGCGUCGUUGCUCUGGAGUUGCUAUGUGACCAAAUCUUCACAGCCUGGCAACGUGAGUCCCCGAGUCCCCGUCCAACUCUGGAAGUGUAAGGUGAGU